rnacentral:rRNA from 1 species
GAUGAACGCUGGCGGCGUGCCUAAUACAUGCAAGUCGAGCGAACAGACGAGGAGCUUGCUCCUCUGACGUUAGCGGCGGACGGGUGAGUAACACGUGGAUAACCUACCUAUAAGACUGGGAUAACUUCGGGAAACCGGAGCUAAUACCGGAUAAUAUAUUGAACCGCAUGGUUCAAUAGUGAAAGACGGUCUUGCUGUCACUUAUAGAUGGAUCCGCGCCGCAUUAGCUAGUUGGUAAGGUAACGGCUUACCAAGGCAACGAUGCAUAGCCGACCUGAGAGGGUGAUCGGCCACACUGGAACUGAGACACGGUCCAGACUCCUACGGGAGGCAGCAGUAGGGAAUCUUCCGCAAUGGGCGAAAGCCUGACGGAGCAACGCCGCGUGAGUGAUGAAGGUCUUCGGAUCGUAAAACUCUGUUAUUAGGGAAGAACAAAUGUGUAAGUAACUGUGCACAUCUUGACGGUACCUAAUCAGAAAGCCACGGCUAACUACGUG